GUACUCCUAAACAAUUUAGUUAUCCUCAAAGAUGCUAUGCAUCAGGAUGCACUUUUUCCAUGCUGAUGCACUCCAAGAUACCUUAUCAGAGCCUAUUUAAAAAGAAGCAUAAUUGUCAUGCCUCAGGACAAAAAUAUAUGUCAGUCAUUUUUUGCUCGAAUUGAAAUGAAAAAAAUAUUGCAUAAAUCAGCCAUUCUAGGCCAUCAGAAUAUACUUUACGUAUAAAAUUUCUGGCACUAAAAAUUGCAUAUUUGGAAUCACUGACAUAAGAUUUUCCAAUUACAUAAGUGAAUACAUUGUUAAGACUAAAAAAACUCCAUGGAUCACUUACCCAGCUGUUUUCGGUUAGAAAUUUUGGAUUUUUUAUAGAUUGACAUUUUUCAGCUAUUUUCGUAAUUGGAUGUUAGACAGACAUCACCAUAUGCAGAGAGUUCUAGAAGAUCCAUGUCUCAUCCUGAUGUUGUUGGAACUCCAUUAUUAGCAAUCAAGUUAGCAAUGCAUGCCAUAUUCUAUUAGGUAGCAAUCCUGUGUAUAAAUCUGAUAAACAACAUUUUGAUAAAACUUUCAAGUCCCCUGAAACUCUAUAAUAUGCAUUCUUCCGUAUGAGGACAGGUUUGGAUAUUUCAGUCUUAUUUCCCUUAGAACAAUUAACAGUUGCCUGCAAAAUGAGAUUAUUUGUCAAAUAAAUUUAAGUGAGAAGCAAUAGGUGCAGACACUGGAUAUAAUUUAUAAUGUAGACAACAUUAUCAAGUAUGGAAGAAACAACUGUGUAUGUAUUAUAUGGAUUACACCAUAAUUAAAUGGCCCAGCUUUUCUAGUUGCCACACUGCGUGCAAUGGAUGUUGGAAAAUAAUGAUAAACUUCACAACAUCAACACAGUCAAGCAUCAGCAUCAAAGCACAAAAAUAGACAUAAUCAGAUUAAACCAAAUGCUGUUAUGCUUAACCACUAGAACACACCCUCUAAGCAGUUGAGUUUUUACAAGAUGCACAACUUGACACCAGAUUGCCUACAGAAUCACUACAAUGUAUAAUUCAAACACAACUUUUAUGCUACCACUGAAUAUCUGGCUCUAAUUCUAUAGAAAUUCUAAAGUUUUGUUUCUCGCUUCUUCCUUAUUCUAUCUGAUCUGCCUAAAGACACAGGCAAAGGAGAGGCGCAAGAACAAAAUCUUUAAAAAAAAAGAAAAAGAAAGAUGAAAAUCUAAAAACUAAGUUGAAUCCUCCUGAACCAACUCCCACAACUUAAUUGUGGUUGCUGUUACAUUGAAUAGUAGAAGCAGGGAACCAAAUCUCAUCAAAGAAAAACCAGCAUGUCUCACUACCACUACAGGUUCUGAGGCCCAGCAUAUACCAAAAUGAGCACGGGCUUUUUCUAUUUUGUUUUAUUUUUUAUUUUGUAUCAUAUUUUAUUUUACUUUGGAAAGAAGCAAGCUACACCACCUAGAUGACUAGAAUAUAUGUCCCCAAAUAUCAGCUUUGGAAGACUGCAAGAAGCUCAAGUAAUUUUCAUCAUUAAAUCAGGACCCCUCGUAAGUGGAUUUUUUAAUCAUGACUUGUUUGAUGAGAGGAAAUAAAACUAAAGAGUCUGGCCAUGGAAUCACAGUUCCAUCACAAUUUUUUUAUGCAUUAGUCGCUUAAUAAAGCUAACUCAAGCUAAUUUUCUUUUCCUUGGUUAAAUGUUCAACAUCUCUGAUACAUUGAGAUUUUAGAGGAAAGAGAAAGGCUAUAUGUGAGGCCACCCCUUUAGCUUAGACUUUAAAUCAAUAUAUACCCAUAAAAGAGUAAUUUCAGUCUAAUGGAUUAUGCCUCCAGAUCAUGAAAUAUAACAUUUCACUAAAAACAUCAUAAAAGACAAGCAAGAAUGUGGAAUUGCAUGGAUUCAGUCAUUCCAACUAUAUAAAAUGAAACUUAAGCUAAACAGGUCAUCAUAACACUGAUAUGAUAAUUAUUCAGUUGUAAAAGUUCCCAAUACCAAGCAUAUAGGAAGAGAUAGAAAUAGUCAACACACUGAGAAAAACAAGAAAUAGCACACUCACCUGUAAAACUUGGCAAUUUUACAAGGUGCUCUUCCCACCCUGCAUUUUGCAAAUAUUAGAGAGACAAAAGUCAAGCUACCCAUACACCAAAAGGAAAAACAGAGAGAGAGAGAAAGAGAGGAAUUCCAACACCUUAUCAUCAAGAAGCUUACCUACUAUUCUUGCAUUUAUGAUUGCUAUGGUCAAUUAUAUGGAAAUUGAGAAAUCUAGGUUACUGCUUAAUUAUUUAAUAUAUCGGGUUAAGAGAAGCUAAGAAUGCAAAUGAGUGGGCAAAAGAGUAGCUCUUCUGAAGGCAGAACAUAUAAGUUCACAUAAAAAACAAAUAAAGUAACUGCUGGUAUCAUAUGCAGACAGACACAUUUUAGCCAUGAAAAAAAGGAUACUUCCCUAAGAUAUGCAGAGUUUCUGCUCCAUUUGUGAACAACACGCCAUUGUUUUCCUUUCAAUCAUUCUUUUAUCUCUAUAUUCAUACAUAACCAAAGAUGGCAUGAAAACCCUUUUUCUCUUUCUGUUUUUGAUUAACAAGACAUUUCCUUGGCCUAAGAAAACUACCAUUCACCAAUCACUCAAAAUAUCUUCCACACUGAAUGAUAUGAAUGCACCACCAAAUGAUACCGGAAAAUUUUCAAAAUGUCCUUCCACAGUUUAGCAACAAUCCAUGUAUUUUCUACCAAAAUAUCAAAAUUAUAGUUGGCCCAUAAGAAAGAUUUAUUUCUUCGAUUGGGUUUUUAUUAAAUGCCAAAUCAUCACUUCUCUGUUUUCAAACUUGCUAUUAGAUUCAUGUGAAUGACUAUAAUACUUGUGAGUACAUCUUCUAACUUUCAUGAACCAUCUCCAUUUUCCACCCUCUUGUUUUCAAUUUAUGCAAAUAAAUUAUUUCUAAUUAUAAUCAAUCGAAAACUUUGAGUUCCAAUUUCAAUAGAGAAGAAUUGCUAAAUUUCUUCCCUUCGAACAACAAUGCAUUCCAAUGAUUUUGCAUUUCAGCCCUAUUCUUUUCAUCAAAAAAAACAAAAAACAAAACAAAAGCAUUCCAAUGACUAUGAAAAAUGAUGCAGAUGUCUCCCAGCAUAUCGUAUAAACUCGAAAAAAGGGGGUUUCAAAGAAACAUCUCACUGCAUAAAUUUCAAGAGAAUAACAUUGUCCUCCACCAUCGAACUUCAUGCUUUACCAUCCCAUGGUUUUCAGGUAUUUAGACUGCUAUCCUCAGCUAUAAUCCCUACUUAGUUGUCGUCUAUCUGAAAGAACAAGGAACCAUCCUCGAAUAUACAAAUCAUCAUUAGCUCCGACUUUCCAAAAUCUACAAUUCACUGUCAGGAGUUUUAGAAAACAAUUUUUUACUGCUCACUCACGAAAAAUUAGUUUAUAAAAGUAGAAAAAGGUUUUCUGACCUUGUAUAUGUGGACAGCUCUGAAUUUUCAUCCUUUCAGCAUGCACUAGACAUUUCCUGCUCUUCUACAUUUUAUGAUGAAGAUACCAUUUCAGUUUACUGUUAUAACAGUCAUCCAUUUUUGUUUCUUUUUGGGAAAGCCAACAUCUCAUUAGAUCUCAUGACAGGAUUAUCCAUCUCCACCAAGUUAUAGUUUGAAAAACUUCACAUCCUGAUUAUUUUUCACAUUCUGCAUAUUCCAACCACAAGAUUUGAAAGCUCAUUUUGAUAGCCCAAUUGUUCUAAAUCUCCAGUGACCUAUAUCAAUCCACUUUCUUGCACCCAUGCCUCCUUUUAGCAUUCAACACAAGAUCUUCACCACGUCUCAUCCGCAAGUCAAAAUCAUGCAAGACACAUUGAGCACAUAUCCAAACUAUACUUGCUUAUGUCAGAGAUGGACUUCAAAUCUCUCUCCUUAUUCCAAGAUAUAUGCAAAAAAAACAAAAGAAAAUACAAGAAAAAAGAAGACGAAGAGGAAGAUGUUUAGAUCUCAAUACUUUCAAGGAUCGAACCUUUCAAUAGACAAAAAUCGAGCCUGACUUUACCAAUUCAAAUACAAGUUCAGAAUCUCAACAUUUAUUUGUGUUGCAUGCCCUUUAUCUAAUGUUAACAACCAUAUCCAAAUCUGCUAUCAGCAAUCCUAUCUCAACUAUCUAAACUAAGCUUCAUGAUCCCCUUUAACCAUUCUUCCCCAGGAUGUCAAAGCCUGGACUAGAAUACUCGGAAUUCUUACCUCUCGUGUAACCCUCAUACAUAUGCCUCAGCCCCCUCUCUAAUGGUGUCUUUAAUUUUUCAUCGCAUGGUAUCUUGUCAUCUCAUCAGUUAUCAUCAUUUUAGUCCCCUCUCUAAUUUUUCCUCCUGUUGAGGCUUUCCUCUUUAUUUGAGUGGGACCCCAUCAAAGGACAAAAAAAAUCAUAAAUAGAUCAUAAUGUAAGAAUGGUCACCCUACUGAAUUUCCUCCAUGCUGCAUUUCUUAGUCCCUUUCAUUUCUUUAUACUUGUAACGUUUAUUUUCACAAGAAGUUUGAAUCUUCAUGGAUUGUUCUGGAAACUAGGGAAAGUCAGAGCUGAUCUUUUGUGAGUCUCUAUUUCUCCUUUGUGAAGCUUCAAGAGAAAGGACAAGAUGAACGUGUAGAAGUUCUGACAGUUCAAUUUGCAGAGCUUAAGAAAGAACAAAGAAACAAGUAGUUCUUAUCAGCUUUAUGAAGCCUAAUAUCAUGUUUAAGCUUGAUCAAAUGAGUUAUUUCUACUGUUGCAUGUUGAAUCCACUUUCUUACAUGAUUUUUUUUUUUUUUUUUGACAAUUAAGGUGCGUUCCCUUGAAGUUGCCAUCCUCUUGCUUGGCCCAGAGAAGAAGAAAUGUUGUAAUACCAACAAGCCAUUAUUGUAGACAGUGAAUGGUUGAUCUACAGUAGGCCUUGCCAGAUUUUUUUUCCUUUGGGAUGGUGGGUCUGCAUUCUUGGCUUUCUAUUCUUUCUAUACAGCAGGAAUGAGACUAAAUUGCACCCAGGUGUGAAUUUAACAGUAUCACUGUAUUCAGGGCUGAGGUGCAUAGGUUUGUCCUCUGUAUGCAGAGGUUCACAGUUAAUGUGCACAGAUUUGCCAUCAUGUGCAAUGACUACCUACUUGAAGCCCCGAAGUUCACAGAUUACACUCUGGUUAUAAUUUUUUUUUUUUGCCGGAGUCCAUUUUUUUCCUUUUUCUUUUGGGAGAAAAACCUCCUUCAAAUGCAACUAUUUCCAAUUUUUUCCUCUCAAAUUUGCCAUACAUAAACAUAAACUAUAAUGUGUAUCUCAAUUAUCAUCUUUUUAAAAGCUUGACAAGUUGAAACCUACAAAUUCCUGAACCCAUAGCAUACCAAACGAAUUCCCACUUGCUGCAAGAUGCAACAAUCAAAGCAGAAAAAAAUUAAUACAGCAAAUUUGGGACCAUAAAAUUAUAAUCAUCCUUCGAAAUGAACCCAAAAAUAGCCGCCAUAAACUAAGAAAAACAUUGUUCCUCUCUGGUUCUAAACUCUCCAUAAAUCCAAGAUUAGCACUCCAAACAUCAACCUUAAUGGAAAAAUCACAGGAACAACGACAUUUUCUUUUGGUUCAAAGAGAACCUACAUCACAAACCCUCCCAAAAAAAGGAAAAAAAAACCCAAAAAAUCCAAUUUUUCCCCAUGCUAAAGAAGAGAUCGAUAAAGAAACAGCACCAGAUCGAUACCGUGGAAUAGAGGUGACGCAGCGGAGGAAGCGGACGUGUUGUGGAGGGAGUCGCGACCCUUCACCUUCUCUGCCUUUUCCCAGCACUACGGCUUCACGCCUUGGGAAAAGCUCCUGGGCUCCACCGGUGUCGACCACCCGCCGCCGCCGCAUUCGCCGCCGUAGAUCUUCAGCGAGAAGCCUGAC
rnacentral:lncRNA from 1 species